rnacentral:tRNA from 1 species
GAUGACGACGCCGGCUCGGUAGGACAUCAGCUUCCCAAGCUGAGUACCCGGGUUCAAAUCUCGGCAACCGCA